CUGGUCAAUUGAACGAUUCAAACAAUAGAUAUGCAUGGCCAUGGAUACAUGAAUGGGUAUGCUUUGCAUUUGAGAGGGCAUAUUGAAAACGGUCAGUGACCUAUCCGCCCCGCAACGGUGCUAAUUGAAGAGUAAGCAAUCGGAUUAGGGAAUGACAAAUUGGUGGGAAAGAAGAGAGAAUGCCUAAUUCAAAAAUCCUUCAUUCCCUUUUCCUCUCACCAGUACUGUAAUCUCCGCUUAAUUGGUGUGAGCUGAUAAUGAUCCUGAAUCCUGAUCGGUCUGCAUCGACCUAGAUCGAUAUUGAUACCCAAUACUUGGAACCCUAGGAGGGUACUUGGAAGGGUGUUUGGGAAAGUAUCAAAACCUAAACCCAAGGGGAAAUGAAUUAUUUCAUUUUGUUUAGUAGCUCCAAGUUCAGGUUUACGUGAUUCCUACCUUCCUCAUUCAAGAAUCCACUCUCAUUUGCCGCUCUUUCCCAUCUCGGGACAUGAGCUACUCCCGCUGAAUUUUCUCCCACUACAUAUGAUGAGAGCACACUCACAGGGUGAUUCACCAGGGCAGGGCCUUUGCUUCUGCAACCAAAUGCGUGAGCGAUGUGUCUCUCCAAACCCCUUGUCCUCUUACUUUGCCCUCAAGUCAUUAACUCAGAUUUGCUCGUUUAGUGGAGGUGAACAAUCCAUGGGAGGAUAUGCGAGAUGGCACCAAUCCGAUUGUCUCCAACUCACUACUUUGAUGGGUUUCUAUGCAACUUGCGAAAAUGAUCGCGAGGCUUGUCAAAUGUUCAAUGAAAUGCCCAACCCAGAUACCAUUGCUUGGAACGUUUUGAUUUCCUGCUAUAAUUGUAAUGGUCGAACCUGAGAAGCUUUGUGCCUGUGCAGUGUCCUGCAAAGUCCCCCAUGUAUGGUCUGAAAACUGAUCAUGUCACUUGCCUUCUUCUCUUCCAGGCAUGUGCAAAACUUGGGUGCUUCAGAUUUUGGUGAGAAGAUUCAUGGUUACAUAGAUGAACAUGGCUAUGGAGAUGCUUUCAAUACUCGAAUUUACUUAUUGCAAUGUACUCAUGAUGCGGGUGAAUGGACAUGCCUUUUGAGUGUUUGAGGAAUGUUCGAGGGGAAUGGGGUUACCUUGAUUGCAACAAUAUCGGGGAUGCCAAUGAGUGGUCAUGAAAGACAAGCCAUCUUAGCAUUUGAGGAGAUGAAAAUAAUGGAAGUUCUCCAUUAUGUAAAGACUCUUGUAGGGGCUCGUUCUGCUUAUAGUAGUAUGGUGGUUUGGUUGAUGAAGGUAGACCACAGCGGAUUCCACCAUUUCCAAGAAGGAUACUGCUCCUGUGGGGAUUAUUGGUAGUGGUCCACCAUUUGGGGGUGGGGAGGGGAGAGAUUAUUAUCAUUCUAUUAUUCAGUUUAUCAUUCAUGAUUGUAGAUUACAGUGGAUCUCCAUCUUUACAAGAAGUGUACAGUGGUUGGUAUGCUUAAGCUGAGAUCAGCUCACGGACAGAAUUUUUAUUGAUGUUAUCCAAAGGAGUGUCAGUGAACUCUGAUAAGAUUGCUCUGAACUCAUCUCCUGUGAGGGUUUCCUUCUCUAACAGAACUUCGACUAGCUUAUCAAUUGCCUCCCGAUUAUUCCUAAUGUGGGUCUUUGCAAUUUCGUAAGCACUGUCAAUUAUUGUUCUUACUGAUGUAUCGAUAUCUUCUGCAAGUUUUUCUGACAUGGCAUUUCUUGCUAGCAUUCUCAGUACUACAUCACUGCUUUGUACCGCGGAUCCGUCAAUGCCCAUGGCCCAAUUUCAGACAUUCCAAACAUGGUUACCAUCUGGCAGGAGAAGACAUGUAUCAGAUCUCCAGCUGCACCAGUUGUAAUCUCUGGUUCGCCAAAAAUUACUUCCUCUGCUGCCCGUCCUCCAAGACCUCCUACUAUUCUAGCAAAGAGUUGCUGCUUUGAGACGAGAGCUGGAUCUUCACCAGGUAUGAACCAAGUAAGCCCACGGGCUUGCCCCCUAGGUAUCAGAGUAACUUUCUGUACUAGGUCAUGCCCUGGAAUUAAAGUCCUGUUUAUGGCAGAUAAAUAGGAACAUUCUUAGCAAUGUGGUUACAGAAUUACCAUAUUCAACUGCCAUAGUGCCAUUUUUGUUGGACUAUUCAAGGUAUUCUCACUUUGCUGCAUACUUGUCAUUCAAAUUUCUAUAACAAUCUGAUUGAAUUAUUAUUAUUGUC